rnacentral:lncRNA from 1 species
GAAGGAAAAAAGAGAGGCACACAAAUCUCAGAAGCAAAAGCGACAUUGUUUAUACUGCAUCGGGCCUCAGACGAUACAUCAUCGCAAACCCUUAUCCCAAAAUAGUCCGUAAACUCGUAAUGUACAUCCAAGUACAUAGAUGGGAGCUGAAUCGACUUCCACUCCCUUUAUUGCAGCAAAACAUAAAAGAUAAACGACCCACGAGCCGCUCCGAGAAUGCCAAAGGAUUGAGGUUGCCCUGUGGUGGGGAGAGAAACAAACCCCAGCGACGACCGGCCCCUGCCGCCCUAACGCCAUCCGCUGCCCACCGGGCGGCACCGCCACGGCGAAGGCGGCACAGCCAUGGCGCGAUCACUUGCGCCGGACUGUACAGUACGGCGUAGCCAUGGCUCUUCCAAUCAAGUGACCAGACUGAAGUGAAUCGGGGUUUGGAGGGUCUCGAUAAAGGAUAAGGAAUUUAAAGGGGCAUCUGGAGGGGAUGGUGGCAUCUUCCAUGGCAUAUGCUCCGACCACUUCCGCCCACGAACUCCACCCAAAAUCUGAGUACUGGAUAUACGCUCGCCUUUUUCC